GUCUGUGAAUGCAUGAAAAAACGAAGAGCAAGGGACAGAUUUGUGAAACCUUCAGUCAUAGGAUACAGAACAAUUGCAGUGGGAGAGAUCUCUGAGGUUUGUCCGGAAAUCACUGAUUUUUUGUGCCGGGACAAGAAGUGCAUUGCAUCCCACCUUCUUUGUGACUAUAAGCCAGACUGCUCUGAUAGGUCUGAUGAAGCUCACUGUGGUACCUCAUAUCAGUGGAGUCAUAUAGUAUUUUUCUUUUCUGUGACUGGCUUAUGUCACUUACCCUAAUGUCUUCAAGCACAGUAUACAAGCACAACAGGAAGCUGCAAUUUUGAAACAAGUUCAGGAAACUGGACCACAGCCUGCAGUCUUACUCAAGACUCUGAGGAUGACUUGGACUGGGCCAUUGGCAGCAGAAUUCCUGCCAAAGCAUUACUUCCAGACUCUGAUCACACGCCAGGUAGUGGUCAGCACUUCCUGUACGUCAACUCAUCUGGCUCCAAGGAAGGAUCUGUUGCCAGAAUUACUACUUCCAAAUCCUUCCCAGCAAGCCUUGGAAUGUGUACUGU
rnacentral:sRNA from 1 species